rnacentral:rRNA from 1 species
AUUGAACGCUGGCGGCAUGCCUUACACAUGCAAGUCGAACGGCAGCACGGGAGCAAUCCUGGUGGCGAGUGGCGAACGGGUGAGUAAUAUAUCGGAACGUGCCCAGUCGUGGGGAUAACGUAGCGAAAGUUACGCUAAUACCGCAUACGAUCUAAGGAUGAAAGCGGGGGAUCGCAAGACCUCGCGCGAUUGGAGCGGCCGAUAUCAGAUUAGGUAGUUGGUGAGGUAAAGGCUCACCAAGCCGACGAUCUGUAGCUGGUCUGAGAGGACGACCAGCCACACUGGGACUGAGACACGGCCCAGACUCCUACGGGAGGCAGCAGUGGGGAAUUUUGGACAAUGGGCGCAAGCCUGAUCCAGCAAUGCCGCGUGCAGGAUGAAGGCCUUC